rnacentral:rRNA from 1 species
UGAGGAAUAUUGGUCAAUGGGCGAGAGCCUGAACCAGCCAAAUCGCGUGAAGGAUGAAGGUAUUAUGUAUUGUAAACUUCUUUUACAGGGGAAUAAAGUGCGGGACGUGUCCCGUUUUGUAUGUACCCUGAGAAUAAGGAUCGGCUAACUCCGUGCCAGCAGCCGCGGUAAUACGGAGGAUCCAAGCGUUAUCCGGAUUUAUUGGGUUUAAAGGGAGCGUAGGUUGACAUAUAAGUCAGCUGUGAAAGUUUACGGCUCAACCGUGAAAUUGCAGUUGAUACUGUAUGUCUUGAGUGUACAAGAGGUGGGCGGAAUUCGUGGUGUAGCGGUGAAAUGCUUAGAUAUCACGAAGAACUCCAAUUGCGAAGGCAGCUCACUGGGGUACAACUGACACUGAGGCUCGAAAGUGUGGGUAUCAAACAGG